rnacentral:rRNA from 1 species
AUUGAACGCUGGCGGCAGGCCUAACACAUGCAAGUCGAACGAGUGGCGGACGGGUGAGUAAUGUCUGGGAAACUGCCUGAUGGAGGGGGAUAACUCCUGGAAACGGUCGCUAAUACCGCAUACCAUCGGAUGUGCCCAGAUGUGAUUAGCUAGUAGGUGGGGUAAUGGCGCACCUAGGCGAAGAUCCCUAGCUGGUCUGAGAGGAUGACCAGCCACACUGGAACGGAGACACGGUCCAGACUCCUACGGGAGGCAGCAGUGGGGAAUAUUGCACAAUGGGCGCAAGCCUGAUGCAGCCAUGCCGCGUGUAUGAAGAAGGCCUUCGGGUUGUAAAGUACUUUCAGCGGGGAGGCGUUACCCGCAGAAGAAGCACCGGCUAACUCCGUGCCAGCAGCCGCGGUAAGAC